rnacentral:rRNA from 1 species
UACGUAGGGUGCGAGCGUUGUCCGGAAUUACUGGGCGUAAAGCGUGCGCAGGCGGUGAUGUAAGACCGAUGUGAAAUCCCCGGGCUUAACCUGGGAACUGCAUUGGUGACUGCAUUGCUGGAGUAUGGCAGAGGGGGGUGGAAUUCCACGUGUAGCAGUGAAAUGCGUAGAGAUGUGGAGGAACACCGAUGGCGAAGGCAGCCCCCUGGGCCAAUACUGACGCUCAUGCACGAAAGCGUGGGGAGCAAACAGG